CCUUUCAUAAUUCUCUAAUUAUCUGUGUUUAGAUUCAUAUUUUUAUAUUUAUUCUCCGAUUUUUAUUCAUUAACACCUAUUCUCUGAAGGUAAUAUGUUUACUUUCUGCUAAUAUCCAACGUUUUCCUUAUUCAAUUUGAAAUCGUAAGCUUUCUUCAAUGUUCAUGCUUAUGCAAUCAUUUUUUGUUUUUGCUGGAGUACUCAUUCUUGGGUUCAAUAAACUUUAGCACAUUCAUAUUUUUCUUCUUUGACACUUGAGUUCUACCAUAUUGCUUAUGAUGUAUAUAUAGUAGUUUUCAAUGAUUUGCAGGUUUAGAGUCAACCAAUCGAAGGCCUCCAACCUUGCUUUAUUUGGAAUUGCUGGAAUUGAUGUUAGGACGCAAAUAUUGUUGUUGAAAGUCAAGUACAUAGUGGGAAUUUGGGAAAAAGGAUUGAAACUUUUUUAUAUGAAAUUGAGAAAAGUAGACUUUGUUCUCUUUUAUAUUUUUAUCUACAUGGGUUUUUUUAUUAUGAA